AUUGAACGCUGGCGGCAGGCUUAACACAUGCAAGUCGAACGAGUGGCGGACGGGUGAGUCAUGCUUGGGAAUCUAGCUUAUGGAGGGGGAUAACUACGGGAAACUGUAGCUAAUACCGAGUACCAUAGAAUGAGCCACCGUGGGAGUAGGUAGUUGGGGAGGUAAAGGCUCACCAAGCAGACGAUCUCUAGCGGGUCUGAGAUGAUGACCAGCAACUCUGGGACGUAGACACGGCCAAGACUCCUAAGGGAGGCAGCAGUGGGUAAUAUUGCGCAAUGGGGGCAACCUGACGCAGCCAUGCCGCGUGAAUGAAGAAGGCCUUCGGGUUGUAAAGUUCUUUCGGUAGCGAGGCGUUAACUACAGAAGAAGCACCGGCUAACUCCGUGCCAGCCGCCGCGGUAAUAC
rnacentral:rRNA from 1 species